UGCCCAGCAACUCCUAUCUCUACCUCCUCGCGGUACUAGCAACCUUAAGGAAGAUCGGGUAACCAACCCCGGUGGUAACUUUGUCGUAUGCUGACAGGGAAGG
rnacentral:ribozyme from 1 species